UACGGAGGAUGCAAGCGUUAUCCGGAAUGAUUGGGCGUAAAGCGUCCGCAGGUGGCAAUGUAAGUCUGCUGUCAAAGCGUCUGGCUCAACCAGAUAAAGGCAGUGGAAACUACAUAGCUAGAGUAAGGUAGGGGUAGAGGGAAUUCCUGGUGUAGCGGUGAAAUGCGUAGAUAUCGGGAGGAACACCAGUGGCGAAGGCGACUACCUGGCCUGUUCUUGACGCUGAGGCGCGAAAGCUAGGGGAGCAAACGGGG
rnacentral:rRNA from 1 species